rnacentral:misc_RNA from 1 species
GAUGAAGAACGCAGCGAAAUGCGAUAAGUAGUGUGAAUUGCAGAAUUCAGUGAAUCAUCGAAUCUUUGAACGCACAUUGCGCCCCUUGGUAUUCCAUGGGGCAUGCCUGUUCGAGCGUCAUUUGUACCUUCAAGCUCUGCUUGGUGUUGGGUGUUUGUCUCGCCUCUGCGUGUAGACUCGCCUCAAAACAAUUGGCAGCCGGCGUAUUGAUUUCGGAGCGCAGUACAUCUCGCGCUUUGCACUCAUAACGACGACGUCCAAAAGUAAAUUUUUACACUCUUGACCUCGGAUCAGGUAGGGAUACCCGCUGAACUUAAGCAUAUCAAUAAGCGGAGGA